rnacentral:rRNA from 1 species
UACGGGGGGGGCAAGCGUUGUUCGGAUUUACUGGGCGUAAAGGGCGCGUAGGCGGUCAGCACAAGUCAGUUGUGAAAUCUCCGGGCUUAACUCGGAAAGGUCAACUGAUACUGUGCGACUAGAGUGCGGAAGGGGCAACUGGAAUUCCUGGUGUAGCGGUGAAAUGCGCAGAUAUCAGGAAGAACACCCGUGGCGAAGGCGGCUCUCUGGGACGGUACUGACGCUGAGACGCGAAAGCGUGGGGAGCGAACAGG